UACGGAGGGGGCUAGCGUUGUUCGGAAUUACUGGGCGUAAAGGGCUCGUAGGCGGCCAACUAAGUCAUACGUGAAAUCCCUCAGCUUAACUGGGGAACUGCGUGUGAUACUGGAUGGCUUGGAUUUGGGAGAGGGAUGCGGAAUUCCAGGUGUAGCGGUGAAAUGCGCAGAUAUCGGGAGGAACACCGGUGGCGAAGGCGGCGACCUGGGUAGAUACUGACGCUGAGGUGCGAAAGCGUGGGGAGCAAACAGG
rnacentral:rRNA from 1 species